rnacentral:tRNA from 1 species
GGGGGCGUAGCUCAGCUGGGAGAGCGUACGGUUCGCAUCCGUAAGGUCAUGGGUUCGAUCCCCACCGUCUCCACCA